rnacentral:rRNA from 1 species
AUAUCAAUAAGCGGAGGAAAAGAAACCAACAGGGAUUGCCCUAGUAACGGCGAGUGAAGCGGCAACAGCUCAAAUUUGAAAUCUGGCUUCGGCCCGAGUUGUAAUUUGUAGAGGAUGCUUUGGGCGCGGCUUAACUGAGUUCCCUGGAACGGGACGCCACAGAGGGUGAGAGCCCCGUAUAGUUAGAUGCCUAGCCUAUGUAAAGCUCCUUCGACGAGUCGAGUAGUUUGGGAAUGCUGCUCUAAAUGGGAGGUAAAUUUCUUCUAAAGCUAAAUAUUGGCCAGAGACCGAUAGCGCACAAGUAGAGUGAUCGAAAGAUGAAAAGCACUUUGAAAAGAGGGUUAAAUAGCACGUGAAAUUGUUGAAAGGGAAGCGCUUGCAAUCAGACUCGCCUUCAGUUGAUCAGCCUUCCUUCUGGUUGGUGCACUCUGCUGUUGGCGGGCCAGCAUCAGUUGGGGCGGUGGGACAAAGGCGGCAGGAAUGUGGCUCGCUUCGGUGAGUGUUAUAGCCUGCUGCGUCAUGCCACCAGCCCCGAUUGAGGUCCGCGGUUCGCCUAGGAUGCUGGCUUAAUGGUUGUAAGCGA